AUGGUAUGUGCCAGCCGCCGCGGUAAUACGUAGGGGGCAAGCGUUAUCCGGAUUUACUGGGUGUAAAGGGAGCGUAGACGGAUGGACAAGUCUGAUGUGAAAGGCUGGGGCUCAACCCCGGGACUGCAUUGGAAACUGCCCGUCUUGAGUGCCGGAGAGGUAAGCGGAAUUCCUAGUGUAGCGGUGAAAUGCGUAGAUAUUAGGAGGAACACCAGUGGCGAAGGCGGCUUACUGGACGGUAACUGACGUUGAGGCUCGAAAGCGUGGGGAGCAAACAGG
rnacentral:rRNA from 1 species